CCCCCCGAAGUAGUGAAGUUACUAUUCAUCCAAGCUGCAAAGGGAUUAAGGCAAACAAGGGGAUUUUUGGGACUAAAGUGAAGCAGGACUGAAACAAGGAACCUUCGGAGACCAAGAAAGAGGGCUCCAGACGAGAACGCUCGUUGGCUCGUUGCAAGCUGGGGGAUGAGCUCUUCUUCAGGCAACCUGGCUCGGACUCAAGCAUUGCAUUCGCAAACCAGCGAGUGGCUUCUUCGGUGGUCAACAGGAGCGCAGGACGAAUCUUUGAUCAGAUCAAACUCCGUUGCAACUGCCCUGCAAAAAGCGGUUGCACACGUCUGCCAAGGUUGCCGUGAACCUCUGAAAUCCGCAUUGAAAGGGACCAAUGCACUGUGGAACGGAGAAAGGGGUCUUGUCCCAGCGGCUCCCCCUCGUUCCUCUGGAGGAAAAGUAGAAAACUGCCGAGAGGCCAGAGCAAAGAGCAUGGUGCGCUGAUGGAGAUGGACCUUUUCACCCGGGUCGGCAUAAAUGUGCAACGAAGCAGCCAGCAGGUCUUCCCCUCGCUUUUCACCUACUCUUCGCAGUUUCAGUGAUGGAGUAGCAGGCGAGCAGCGAAUCCUGAAGCCCCCUACCCCAAGGCGACCUUGUGGUGUGGUGUGGUGUGGCCGUGUGGGUCAUGGUCACCCGGUCAUGCCUGAAUCCGAGCUGCCGAGCAAAUCAUUUACCAGCGCACCCUGCACUGCUGCAGCGCGGCUCCACCUCCACUCCACCGUUGCCAACCUGUGGUCUAUGGACUGUGAGUCUGUGACCCGCCAGACUCUCGCCGACCAUGUCCAGUGCUCGGAGACACAACCUCAUUAGUGGAGAUCAUUAGCAGCUGUUGCUCCGAUUAUAAUGCUGGACCAUGGCCCAUGCAUGGGCGCAUGUGUCCCCGACAGAGUGCACAUAGCCACAUACGAUUCGCACACUUUUACCGGGGACCCUGGAAUAUCGUGGGAGCGAUUUGUCCCACUAGGGUGGCACACCCUUGCGCUCAUCCAGGCCGAAUGCAUGGUCGCGAAAGGUACAAUGAUAGUGGCGAGUGGUGGAAAGACCUAUAAAUGUGCAUCGCAAGUUACCACCACCGCCGUGAAAGUUCCAUGGCCAAAAGCUAGGGGGUGGUGGUGCCCCUAGACGAACCGAGGCAGCUGACCAUCUGGUCCGGCCCCCUGGCUUGGUUGCUUAGCACACUUACCUUGCUUUAGUGUCAUGGUAUUAGUACUACUAGCACUGGAGUGACAGGAAAAGUGAGGGAAAGCGACUGGGAUUAGCCAAGGAGGAAACGUACGGGCUGUUACAUUAGGAGGUGAAUCUGUAUUGGGGUACACUGGUCGAAAGUGAAAGAAAGGGCCUUGCACUGGUGAGAGUGAGAAGCAAUCAUCCAAAGGGGAGGAAAGGCGAUCAAAGUGAGGGGAAGUUUCGUGCUUUGAUACCUCUCCCCCAGCCUCCCCUGUUGUUUUUGUUUUUGUUUUUUCUUUCACUUUGCUCAAAGGAUGCAUGCAAGGAGUAAAAGGAGCACA